rnacentral:rRNA from 1 species
AUUGAACGCUGGCGGCAUGCCUUACACAUGCAAGUCGAACGGCAGCACGGGAGCAAUCCUGGUGGCGAGUGGCGAACGGGUGAGUAAUAUAUCGGAACGUGCCCAGUCGUGGGGGAUAACGCAGCGAAAGCUGUGCUAAUACCGCAUACGAUCUAAGGAUGAAAGCGGGGGAUCGCAAGACCUCGCGCGAUUGGAGCGGCCGAUAUCAGAUUAGCUAGUUGGUGGGGUAAAGGCCCACCAAGGCGACGAUCUGUAGCUGGUCUGAGAGGACGACCAGCCACACUGGAACUGAGACACGGUCCAGACUCCUACGGGAGGCAGCAGUGGGGAAUUUUGGACAAUGGGCGCAAGCCUGAUCCAGCAAUGCCGCGUGCAGGAUGAAGGCCUUCGGGUUGUAAACUGCUUUUGUACGGAACGAAACGGCCCUUUCUAAUACAGGGGGCUAAUGACGGUACCGUAAGAAUAAGCACCGGCUAACUACGUGCCAGCAGCCGCAGUAA